UGAUGGUCUCUAAGUUUUAGGCCCUGGGGGCUGUGCGGAGGGUUGGUCAGAGGUGUCCAUAUGGGAAGACCAACCCAGAGAUGGCAAUCUGUGGGAGAGAUGAUGAAGACCAGGAUGGGGUGGUGAAGCAAGAAUGCAGAGGUCGUAGUACCUACUUGAAUGUGAGGGGGGAGACUCAGGGGGCUGCGUAGAUAUUCACACCCUUCAUAAUUACAGGGAUUAGCUGGGAGGUGUUGCCCACCAAGGAGACUGAUAAGGAAGGUUCCGAGAGUGAGGGGUAGAGAGAUGAAAUGGUAAGGAGUCCAGCUAAAGCCAUGGUCUUGGGCAUCGUACCAAGUGUGGUCUGGAGUCUAGGUUCUGCCCCUUACGAGGUCUUUGAGCUUGGCCAACUUGAACCUUCGAGCUUCUGUUUCCUCUUCAGUGAAAUUCACGGGCAGACAACAACAGCAACAGCUCAUAGGUUGAUGAUGAUGUGAGGAUAAGAGGUUGAGAAGAUGCAAGUAAGGUGCAAGAGGAAACAACCUGCACUUAUUAAGAACUUGGCAAGUACUGAAGAAUCAGAAGAAUGUCGUAGAAAUCCAGAGGAGACAGAGUUGUGAGAAAAGGGAACUGGCAAUCCUGCAGGUGUCACAGGGAAAUCAAGUGAGACAAAGCCUUGAAAGGGACCUUGGGUCCCUUGGGCUGGGUGUGGGAAGGCCACUUUGUGAUCCUGUAGAACACUGCUUCAGCACAAGAUUCUCAAAAGAGGAAGAGAACUUUCGAUGAGAUGGCUCGUUGUAGCUUUAUUAUUCGACACAGGGUAAGAACAGAAGCCCCACCUUGAUGAGAAUCACUCAUCCCUGGAUGAAUGCAAACCACUCACCAGCCUCCAGCCCAAAUGCCUGCUCUCACCUCCCACAGGGUUGUCCGAAGUCAAAGUUCAAGUUCAUUCUUCAUGGCACCUCUUUCCAUCGUGGGUAUGAAGGAUGGAUUUGCACUCACCCAUGCUCUUCUCUAAUCACUGGGACUAACAGGAUCAUGGCUCCCACCGGCCGGGACUGGGCAGUCAGCCUGCAGCCAUGGAACAGAGGAGGGGGAAUGCUCCCAUUGCCCUUGGCUUUGAAGAACUCACUGUCAAAUCCACUGAGCUAACCAACUCCAGAUCUUUCCCUGCGGAGAACCGUGUAAUAGGCAUGUAAAAGCGAUGAAGGGGAUUGCUUUGGAAACUUGUAUAAAUAACUCUUUGGGCAGGAGAAAGAUUGCCAACACCUGCUUUUUGUUUUCUGGUAUUUAUUAGAGCCACCCUGUGAGGGACCUCUAAGCUUCCUGGAUCUUAUUCAUUUAUCUGAGUUCAUUCUUGGUUCAGGGUCAGCACUGUUGAGGGUGUAGAAAAAGCUGGCAAGGAUCAGAGGAGGGGAGUUCCCAUUGCAGUUCAGCAGUAACGAGCCUGACUAGUCUCCAUCAGGAUGCAGGUUUGAUCCCUGCCCUUGCUCAGGGGGUUAAGGAUCCAGCAUUGCCAUGAGCUGUGGUGCAGGCACAGCCGUAGCUCGGAUCCCACAUUGCUGUGGCCGUGUCACAGGCCAGCAGCUGCAGCUCCUAUUCGACCCCUGAACAACUCGCCUGUGAAUUUCCAUAUGCUGCAAGUGUGGCCCUAAAAAGCAAACAAACAAACAAACAAAAACAAAAAAAUAAAAACAAAAACAAAACUCAGAAAAAGACCACUGACUGUGAGAUUUCAGUAAGUGCAUAAGGUUCAGAAGUCUCCACAUCGACAGGAAUGAUCUUCAGGCCAAAUCUAAUUGUUCACCAUGCUUUUCCUAACUCAUUACUUCCUACUCCACUCCCCUCACAGUCAGUUAUUAAUGUAGCACCCAUCCAGUCAUUCAUACAUUUACCCAUUCGCUUACCUAGUAACAAUAAUUAGUCUAAUAUCAUGAUAGGUAUUCUCCUAGGUGCUGGGAAUAGUGAUGAAUCAGACUAGUCCAUGCCCAGGAAGAGUAGGGGAUGGACAGUUUAGUACAGCCUGAUCAGGGCUGUGACAAAUGUAGGUACAAGGUAACUAAUCCAGGCUGGUGAGGCCAGUCCGGAGUAAGUCUCGAGCUAUGUCUGGAAAAUAGUGGGAAUGGUGGGUUAGACAGGGGAAUAGCAUGAGUAAAGGCAGGGUAACCUGAACUUUGGCUGCUCAAAGCAUGCUCCAUGGAUCAGCCAAAUUAGCAUCACCUGAUGCUUAUUAGAAAUGCAGACUCUUGGGCCCCACCCCAGGCCUACUGAAUCAGAUUCUGCAUAUUAACAAGACCCUGCAAGAAUGCUAAUGCCCAUUAAUGUUUGUGAAGCACAAGUCUAAACACCAUUUCUCAGAGAAGCUGCCAGUGGUUGCCAGCCAUCACACUCCCAGUGCCGAACUCCUUGCUCUCAGCCAGAGCCACCUCCCUCUGCUGACUCGAAGAUUCAGCCCUGGGCUCUCCUUCCAGCUCCCUAACUUGCUUCACACUCCAGCAUCCUAAGCCAUCUAAUGGUUUCUGGGAAAUAAAACGUUUCUUCCCCUGGAAGCGUUGCAAAGACUAGUUUUCUUCUAGCUACAACACUGGCUAUGAUUUUGGACCCAGGAAUUCCACUCUGAGGACAUUAACCCAAGGGAGAAAAAAAAUCCAAAAGAAAACAGUCAUUUAUACUCAGAUGUUAGAUGUUUAUAGCCAUGUCAUCUUCAAUCACACACAGUCAAAAGGGAAACAACCCAAAUGCCCAGCAUCGGUGCACAAGUCGGAGGUGGGGAGCUGGGUGUUCCCCAAGCACACGUGGGGGUGGCUGGCGCUGCCUCUGGGGACAUGUCAGGAUGUCCUGGACUGUGUCCUGGCUGGAAAGUCAGGAAACCUGGGUCUCUGUUUCCUUCUACCCCUCUGGACUGCACCCCCUUGGGUAAUCCCACUCCAGUCCGGGGGCUUCAGGUUCUUGGGUGAUUUCUAGGUUUUGACAUUCAAUCUGUGCCCCAAAUCCGCCCCGCGUAAGCUUGCCCUUCUACCCAAAGAGGUGGUGCCCAGAACAAAUCCAUCCUGGGAGGGGCAGUGUAGAAACUGAGAUAUUG
rnacentral:lncRNA from 9 species